UAUCCGGAAUCAUUGGGCGUAAAGCGUCUGUAGGUUGUUUAAUAAGUCUGUUGUUAAAGACUAGGGCUUAACCCUAGAAAAGCAAUGGAAACUACUAGACUUGAGUAUGGCAGGGGUAGAGGGAAUUUCUAGUGUAGCGGUGAAAUGCGUAGAUAUUAGAAAGAACACCAGUGGCGAAAGCGCUCUACUGGACCAUUACUGACACUCAGAGACGAAAGCUAGGGUAGCAAAAGGGAUUAGAUACCCCUGUAGUCCUAGCCGUAAACGAUGGAUACUAGAUGUUGUGUUUAAUAUGCAGUAUCGUAGCUAACGCGUUAAGUAUCCCGCCUGGGGAGUACGCUCGCAAGGGUGAAACUCAAAGGAAUUGACGGGGGCCCGCACAAGCGGUGGAGCAUGUGGUUUAAUUCGAUGCAACGCGAAGAACCUUACCAGGACUUGACAUACUACAAAUUUCUUUGAAAAAAGGAAGUGCCUUCGGGAAUGUAGAUACAGGUGGUGCAUGGCUGUCGUCAGCUCGUGUCGUGAGAUGUUGGGUUAAGUCCCGCAACGAGCGCAACCCUUAUUUUUAGUUACUAAUUAAUUAGGUUUUCUAGAAAGACUGCCGGUGACAAACCGGAGGAAGGUGAGGAUGACGUCAAGUCAGCAUGCCCCUUAUGUCCUGGGCUACACACGUGCUACAAUGGUUAAAACAAAGGGUCGCGAGCUUGUGAGAGUCAGCUAAUCCCAUUAAUUUAGCCUAAGUUCAGAUUGUAGGCUGCAAC
rnacentral:rRNA from 1 species